GACGAACGCUGGCGGCGUGCUUAACACAUGCAAGUCGAACGAAGUGGCGAACGGGUGAGUAACGCGUAAUCAACCUGCCCUUCAGAGGGGGACAACAGUUGGAAACGACUGCUAAUACCGCAUACUGAAGGAGGGGAUUGAGGUUGAUUAGCCCGUUGGGGGGGUAACGGCCCACCAAGGCGAUGAUCAGUAGCCUGUCUGGGAGGAUGGACGGCCACAUUGGGACUGGGACACGGGCCAGACUCCCAAGGGAGGCAGCAGGGGGGAAACUUCCGCAAUGGACGAAAGGCUGACGGAGCAACGCCGCGUGAGUGAUGGCGGCCUUCGGGUUGUAAAGCUCUGUUAAGCGGGACGCGGUACCGGAAGAGAAAGCCACGGCUAACUACGUGCCAGCAGCCGCGGUAAUAC
rnacentral:rRNA from 1 species